rnacentral:rRNA from 1 species
UGGACAACAGUUGGACACGACUGCUAAUACCGCAUAAGCGCACAGCUUCGCAUGAAGCAGUGUGAAAAACUUCGGUGGUACAAGAUGGACCCGCGUCUGAUUAGCUGGUUGGUGAGGUAACGGCCCACCAAGGCGACGAUCAGUAGCCGGCCUGAGAGGGUGAACGGCCACAUUGGGACUGAGACACGGCCCAAACUCCUACGGGAGGCAGCAGUGGGGAAUAUUGCACAAUGGGGGAAACCCUGAUGCAGCAACGCCGCGUGAGUGAAGAAGUAUUUCGGUAUGUAAAGCUCUAUCAGCAGGAAAGAAAAUGACGGUACCUGACUAAGAAGCCCCGGCUAACUACGUGCCAGCAGCCGCGGCAAUACGUAGGGGGCAAGCGUUAUCCGGAUUUACUGGGUGUAAAGGGAGCGUAGACGGUUUUGCAAGUCUGAAGUGAAAGCCCGGGGCUUAACCCCGGGACUGCUUUGGAAACUGUAGGACUAGAGUGCAGGAGAGGUAAGUGGAAUUCCUAGUGUAGCGGUGAAAUGCGUAGAUAUUAGGAGGAACACCAGUGGCGAAGGCGGCUUACUGGACUGUAACUGACGUUGAGGCUCGAAAGCGUGGGGAGCAAACAGGAUUAGAUACCCUGGUAGUCCACGCCGUAA